ACACAAGGAAGGAGGUGGUCCGAGAAAUUGAUAGCUUCAUGGACAUGUGAGGUGGCUGCGCGCUAGCUGCAUCGGCUCUCGGAAGAGCCGGCGAUACAGAUGCGCUGGCGAAUUCCCCGCAGUCACCCGGCCCCCGAGCUUCCGGUUUUGUCCGACCUGGAAUACGGCUCGGGGGCCGCUCCAU
rnacentral:sRNA from 1 species